rnacentral:lncRNA from 1 species
CCAUGCUGCUCUCUCAUCCAAGGCUUGGCUGACCUUGAGGCUGCUGUCUGCCUCUGCACUGUGCUCAAGGCUAACGUUCUUGGAAUCAACCUUAACCUUCCCAUUGAUCUAAGCGUUCUCCUCAAUGUUUGCAGUAGAAAAGCUCCAAAGAACUUCCAGUGCGCGUAAGUGAAAAAACUUAUGGCAUACCUAUAAAAUAAACGAAUCAUACGUUUAAUGAAGUCUCGAACUUAUAGUCUUUUCUUCAUGUUUUAUGUUAAGGUGAUCUAUUUUUUGUAUUUUUCUUGAAUUGUUAACGUACGUUUUCAUGUAAUAAUGGAUACUACAUGGGUUUGUCUAUGCAUGUAAUCGGCAAAUUUGUUCUCCUUUGCUUCAUUGUUCCUUUUUAUCUUCUUUGUAACUGUAUUUUUCGAAUUUUACUUAUAAAUUCACUUCUCACUAUGAUUAAAUUUUAACUUAAACCUCUUUAACCAAUCAAACCUUAGCUUUCUCCUCAUCGUUUGCGGCAGAAAGGCUACACGUGGGUUCCAAUGCCCUUAUUUAAAAAAGUUAAUUUCUAAAACUCUUGAAACUGUUUACAAAAAUGUAAACUGUUUGCCGUAAGACCUCACAAUAAUAAGAUCGGCGGAUUAAACCCAAAAGCCUGUUAAAUCUUAAACAAACAGCGACUUGAAUGGUUUUUUUAAUAAGAAAACCAUGUUUUAGAUGUGAAUUAUAUAUAUAGCAGUCGCAAUUUGGGAUUAUCUGUGUUAUAUUUACAAAUAUGUUUAGGUUUCGUAAGAUUCAUAAUCAUUAAUCAAUGUCAAUUCGUAACGAGUAAACUGAUCACUGUUUUCAUAUACUACUUUUUAUACCAAAAUUGAAAAGCACAUGUAUUAAACGUCCAAAAAAUCAUAGAUGGCGAAUUUUUAGUUUUUUUCUCUUUUUUCUUUUGUUUUUGAUUUAUUUUAAAAUUCUGACCCAAUAAGAAUUAAAAGAACAUUAAUAGUUGUAUAUACUUUGAAUAUAAUUCAUAUUCUGUUGUUGUAUAUGUGAAAUUUAACGUUUAUUCUUUAGGUUUCAGGGUUUAAAAUAUUGUAACGAAUUUGAAUUAUGAUUUGUUAACGAAUAUUAUCAAGUGUGAAGCAUGUUUUUUUGGUAACAUAUUAAUAUCCUAUGAAAACCUAAGCAUCAUGGUUAUUUGGUAUAAAGAUUUGCUUAUGUUAAUCAAAUCUUUGCACAUCCCAAAAAUAUCGGGUCAACUUUCAAAAAGAAAAAGAUUCAGCAAAAGUUUAACAUUUUUUUUCAGUUCAUUAUUGUUUAUAUCAUUGAUUUUAUUCCAUUAUUACCUGUAUGUAUUUAGUCUUACACAGGUAUGUUUUUAUUCCUUUUUCUAAGAAAACUAGGCUCGGACCCGCGCUACAGCGCGGGGGAAAAGUGUCGGUUUUUGUUUUUUUUCCGAAUUACGUAAACUUUUAACUGUUAAAAUGGAUUGUUGGUGUUGAAUUUGGCAAGUAUGAGAAUAUGUACUAUCGUGGAUGUGUACUUUGUCACGUUUGCUAGGUUUAAAUCCGCGCUACAACACGAAAGAAUAUUUUCAAGUUUAUUUUAUUUUAACGUGUUUUGUCGUAUGUGUUAUUAUUUCGUUCAUUUUAGUAUCAACAAUUAUUAUUUCGAAAUGUAUAUUUGGUUUCAAUUCUUUGAGAAAAGUGUGUUUUCGGAAAUUAAAUAUAAUAUUUUUAUAAACUAAAUAAAAGAACGUUUAUUAAACAAAUUGUAUAUUCACAAUGUAUGUGGUGACUAACUAACCAAUCAGCAAAAACCCGUGUAUUUAAAAAAAAAAUCAUGAAAAUAUAUGAUAUUGAAAAAUCAUGAAAAUCAUGUAUAUACAUGUAUCACACAAGAACAUAUGAGUUUGAAAGAUUUGUAUAUACUUGUAUCCUAUAAAAAUAAAAUAAAAAUAUUAUUAUACUUCAUAUUGUAUAAGAGACCAUAAUAUUCUUGUUAUUAACAUAUUAAAAUAUUUAGAACAUUUUAAGGAAAAUUCAGAAUUUAAGGUAAUUUAUUUAAACUAACUUAUGGAAUAUAUUCUUUAUGACUGAUUUUGUAUUAGUAGUGAUUCGAUGAUUAAUAAUUACAAAGAUAAAAUAUUGUUAUUAAAGUAUUUUUAGUUAAUUAUAAUAAUUAUCCUAAAAUUUAAUUAUUUUUUUUGUAUCCAAAAUAUUUCAUAUUACUCAUUGAAAUAUAUUAAUGAUUGUAAAUUAUUUUUUUUUUCAAAAUUCAAAUAUAACCAUUUCUAGAUAUAUAUGGAUCUCUAUAAUUUUGCAUUAAUUAUGCUAUUGAUAAAAUAUUAUUCUUUUUUUAUAGGUAAUUCAAAUUGAUAAAGAUUAAAAUAAUUUUGAAACCUCUUUUCAUAUACUAUUUUUUUAUUCUGAUUAAAUCUUUUAUUUAACUAUUAGGGAAUGUAAAAAAUAAUAAUAANNNNNNNNNNNNNNNNNNNNNNNNNNNNNNNNNNNNNNNNNNNNNNNNNNNNNNNNNNNNNNNNNNNNNNNNNNNNNNNNNNNNNNNNNNNNNNNNNNNNNNNNNNNNNNNNNNNNNNNNNNNNUUUUAUUGAUUAUAUUACCAUUAUUUAUGUAUUUUAGAUGCAUUUUUAUAUUUGUUAUACCAAAUAUUUUUAAAUUAUAUUUUUCUAUAUAUCAAAUAUUUAAACUUAUAAAAAAUUAUAAUUUUUUUUGUUUUUUCAUAUAAGAAAUUAAUAUAAUAAUUAGAAUAUUUUUAAAAGAUUGAGAUCUUUAUAUUCAUAAACAAAUUUUCCUUAUAAGACAUAUUUUUAUAUUUAGCAUUAAUAUAGUUUCCUAAAUGAUAGGAAUCUGGUGUAUAUUAUUGAAAUAUUUGAAAAAUAUUUAACAAAAAAUUUGGCAAGUAUCCGAUUGAAACCCGGAAUAUUUUGAAAAACCCGACCCGAAUCCCUUGUGUACUUCUCUUUUACUAUAGUAGGGAUGUCUAAUAGUUACUUUCGUUUUGUUAAUUACCUAUAAUCUAUGGUGACAUAAAAAAAUAUUAUAUACGUUCAUUAAGAAAUAACUUUGCCUAUUGAGAAUUAGCUUUGCCUGGUUUAAACUAUUGAUUUUUAGACGAAUUUGAUUUUUUUUUUUUUCACACUAUCAAAUUGAACGUUAUAGGAUCGAUAUGAUUCGAGAACAUUGGAGUUGUCUAGUUAAUUAUUUCAUUUUAUAGGAUCGACUUUUACAGAUGACCAGCUAAUUAAAACAAUGACAAUUAAUUGUUUUCUAAUAAUCAAAUCAUAUCUAAAAAAAAUUAGUCAAAUAAUCCACCUAUUAAAGACAAAUUAUAAAUUAAACCUUCACAUUUCUCUCCUAAUGAAACCCCUAUAAAUAUACACGAAACAGUUAACAUCACCCAUCUCAACGAAACUUAAACGCACUACUAGUAAACUUCUCGAGCCUAUUCCUCUCCACAAUUACAAAUGGCUCCAAGAACCUCCCUUGCACUCUUCCUUUCUCUCAACCUUCUCUUCUUCACUUACGCCUCUGCGGCUUGUCCUAGAGACUCCCUACAGCUCGGUGUUUGCGCCAAAGUACUCUUGCAAGUGGAGCUAAAAUUUAACACAUCUUUAAAGCCAUGCUGCUCUCUCAUCCAAGGCUUGGCUGACCUUGAUGCUGCUGUAUGCCUCUGUGAUGUGCUCAAGACUAAGGUUCUUGGAACACCUCUUAACCUUCCCCUCAAUCCCAGCGUACUCCUCAGUGUUUGCGGUAGAGAAGCUCCAAACAACUUCCAGUGCGCGUAAGUUGAAUGGGUGUUUAUGAUGAACCUAUCUUCUUAUCUUCUUGUUUUAUGUUAAGGUGGUUUUUUUUUUUUUUUUGUAUUUUUCUUGAAUUCGUUUUCAUGCAAAUAUGCAAUAAUGGAUAUAAUGCAUGGGUUUGUGUAUGCAUGUAAUCGGCAAGUUUGUACUCCUUUACUUCAUUGUUCCUCUGUCCCUUCUUUGUAAUUAUUUUUUUUCGAAUUUGAUAUAAUAAUUUCACUUCUUACUAUAAUUAAAUUUUAACAUAAUUAGAAAUGAAAAAAAGCCAUAUUGGAAAAAUAAUAAUUAAGAUGCUUGGAAUCUCGGUGUUUAAUGAACUUGGUGAAUGUGACAUUAGUCAUUAAGUGCUUCUUAAUUUAGUUAAGCCGUGUAAAUGUAAUUGCAACCUCAUUGAAGGUUUCGCUGAUGACCUAGAAGCUGCGGUAUCAUCAUUAACCUUAGCUUGAUCCUCAGCUUCACAUGGCUUCCAAUGCCCUUAAUUUAAAAACAAUUAUUUCUAAAACUUGGUUAAUAGGAAUUAAUUAUAUACAAAUAUUGAAGCUGUUUUCCGGCAGAUCUCACCAAGAUCGAAGUCUAUAUUUGAUCUGAACAGUUUUGUACCUCAAACUAACAAGUGCAAAUUAAGUAAACUAAUCAUUUUCGAAUUAUAUUUUAGGAGAUCUUUUUCUUUUCAAUGUAAGAUUUUCAGCAGAAAUGACUCUUCUAACUUUUUAUCUGAUUUAAUCUAUAUAUAUAUAAAGUUAGCUUUUUCUCUCUUCUCCUUAAGCCACAUCAUCAUCCACCUCAUUUUAUUAUUUAAUUUUUAAAAUUAAUUAUACCAUUUUAUCAUUUAAUUUUAAGAUUUAAACCUAUAUAAACCUAUAUAAAGUUAGCUUUUUCUCUCUUCUCCUUAAGCCACAUCAUCAUCCACCUCAUUUUAUUAUUUAAUUUUUAAAAUUAAUUAUACCAUUUAUCAUUUAAUUUUAAGAUUUAAACCUAUAUAAAUAAAUUUAUCAAAAAUGAAUAUGAAAGGUCUUUUUUAUAGAAAUUUGGUGGUUGUGUCAGGAAAUUUGAUAAUAUUAACUUUAUAUAUAUAGAUUACAUCUUAUCUCAACAGAUAUUAGACUUACUAUAAUGUCAAAUUGUUUCUUAAUUUAUAUUUGAUUUCAAUUUUAAAUCAUUUCCUCUGCUUUCAAUUUUUGACUUGAUUAACCCGUCAGAGUUCAAAAAAAAAAAAUUAGUUUAUAUUAUUGAUCACAUUGGACAUGCUUUCCCUAAAAUUCUUGCAAAGUUGCAAUUGGCCAAAAUUUAAAAUUUAAGUUAGACGAAUUAAUAUGUAUCUUUCUUUUUUUAAGUUAAGUGAAAUAUGAUUUGAUAACUCCAACCAUCUGAGAUGAAAUAAUACAAUAUUAUCACAUGGAAAUGAAAUAAUAAACUAUAUGUCUUCGUCUGACUAAAUGAUGUUUUAGAAAUAAUGGUGACAAAGGUAUUUGUUAAAUAUAUCACAUGGACAAAGCAUGGAGGAAUAAAGAAACUCAUUCCAAUUUCGAUGUGCUUAAUUAACAAAAAUAGAUGUUUAAAUGAAAAUAGCAGGUUUUAGAAAAGAAACCUGUGAUACCUAGAUAUACAUAAUAUUUGCUUAGAUAUAGGUGCUAUACUACUAGCUUUGAUAUAACGUCAAAAAUAACUCACUCCAACUUAUUAUCCCUUGAUGAUGAAGAGUUUUUAGGUUUAACUUGCGAAAGGUGGGAUUUACGAGCUGGUCUGAAUCACUCUCUCGUCAAUCAGGAGGUCGUACAGGGAAUAGAUCAGGUGAGUGACUCGUUUAAUCAGUAGGAUAAAUGACUCACUCGAUCAAUGGACGAAUGAAGGAUGUUGAAUCACUCAACAAACUUAGUUCGCAGAUUUUGUAAGUAUUAAGUGACUCACUCAUAAAGAACUGAAAAACAAGAUUGAAAAGACUCAAACUUUGACAAGAAGAAAAAAUUUCUACUGCUUUGAAAUGAUCAAGGGUGUUUUACAAAUGAACAAUCUAAUGAGCUUAUAUAGGCUCAACUACACGUUCUAGUAGUCUAAAAGAGGUGUAUUCAAAAUGGAAUUUUAAGAGAUUUGAGUUUUUAAAUGAUUAUGAUGAUUUUAGAGAAGUUCAUAUGACUUUUGUAAAAUCCUUUUACAUCUCACCAAAAACCAUGAGAUUUGGAUUUCUGUAUUUUUAACUAAGGAAUUCCUUUCAAAUCUUCUGAAAUCCUUCAAAAUCAUUAAAAGCCAAAUCCACAAAUUGUUUUCAAUAACAGUGGAUUUGAAUGUGGAUUUUGAAAUAAUUAGUUCAAUAACAAUGGAUUUCAUGAGACUUUUUAAAAUUUAUAUUUGAAUAACACUAGAUUAAUAAGUUCUACACAAAUCUCUUAAAAUGCUACUUUGAAUACACCUCCCUAAACCAAGAAACAAAUCGCAUAAAAUUGAAGACACUAGCCGUUGGGAAUUUAUGAACCAAAUCAGCUAAAUAAGGCAAGUAGAAAGAUACCUUGAGUUUUGAAAGCUUUGGUGCGAAAACAUGAUUUCUUAAGGUGUCUAGGUUCAUUUUAGAAAGCUUCAAGAUGUACAUAAGAAAAUAAGGAAGUAGUCGUUGCAGCUUUAUCUCCUUUGGUUCCAUGUAUGAUAAGUAGUGACUCGUCGGUUUCUUGUAUGGUAAGGUGUACUAAAGGUCGUGUUGCACAAGUAUUGUUUGGUCUAAAUAUUUACAUGGUUUCCAUAUCUUAUUAUAUAAACCUUGGUUUUCAAAGUUAGCCAUUAACAAGAUCGUGACACGUGUUAAUUAUAAUUGAUAAGAUAUUGACACAUGUCGUAACUAAUUUUGUUAAUAUUUGGAUAAUAUAGAAAUAUUAUUAACCCUAUCGAAAAAAGAAAUAUAUAAAAUAAAUAUUAUUAAUAAAAUAUACAAAUAACCUAAUUUCAGUUAUGUCAAUUUGGUUUAUCAAUAAGAUAGGGAUUUAAAAUUUAUAAUUAACAAGAAUAUAUGACGAUUUUUGUUUACAGAAGAGAAUUAAGGUUUAAACUUUAAUUUUACGAUUAAAUCAGGUUAUUUGUUGGUUUGGGUAUAUAAAUGAUAAAUAAGAAUUAUGGUUUAUCUUUAUAAAUUAAAAUUAUGGUUGAAGUUUAACAAUUAAACGAGAUUAUAUGUCGAAACUUGGUUUUUAAANNNNNNNNNNNNNNNNNNNNNNNNNNNNNNNNNNNNNNNNNNNNNNNNNNNNNNNNNNNNNNNNNNNNNNNNNNNNNNNNNNNNNNNNNNNNNNNNNNNNUGCAAUAUGGUAUAUCUAAUUUUGUUAAUAUUAAGAUACAAAUAGAUUUUUUAAACAACAUUAAAAAAUAAUUAUAAAAAAUGAAAGAGAAUUUUUGAGAAAUAUCCCUUUUGGUGUAUCACUUUUCAAAAAUACCUCAUUUAUCUAUCCAUUUUCAAAAAUAUCCAUGUUUAAAUAUGAAAAAUUUUAAAGUUUUAUAUGGUUUAUAAGGCACUUUUAUAUAAUAACUACUACUUGGAAAUUUGAUACAAAUAUUUUAUAAUGUUUUAAAAGAUUCUGAAUCGUUUUUACAAGUUUUAUAAGGUUUUUAAGUGGUUUUAAAAAGGGUUUAUAAGGUUUUUAAAAGGUAUUUAUAAGUUAUUUUACGCUAUUUAUGAAAGAUAUAUAAAAAUUUUAACAUAUAUAAAGGUAAUUUGUGUGUAUAUUUAUAAGUUUACACACAUAUUUGGAUAAAUUUUAAUAUUUAUAGUUGUUUUUUUAUAAAGUUUGAAAUAGGGGUAUUUUUAAAAAGUGGUAUGGAAAAAGGAUAUUUUUGAUAAAUUAAAAAGUAAAAAAAUUGAAAUUUAUAUAAAAAAAGCGUAAGCUUAUAUAUUUAGACACAAAUUAUCUUUCUAUUUGUGUAAAUUUUAAAUACCAUAUAAAUACCUUUUAAAAACCUUUUAAAAUUAUUUAAAAAACAUAUAAAAACUUUGUAAAUCUUAUAAAAACCUUAUAAAAGUCUUAUAAAUGCCGUUUAAAACCUUUUUAAAACUUUAUAAAUAUUUGUAUUGAGUCUCCCAAUAGUAAUGAUGAUCUAGAUGUACCUUAUAAACUAUAUAAAAGUUGACAGUUUUUCAUAUUUGAAAAGGGAUAUUUUUAAAAUGGAUAGAAAAUUGGUGUAUUUUUAAAAAGAGGUACACCAAAAGGGGUAUUUCUCAAAAAUUCUCUUUUAACUAUUAACCUAAUUUUUGGUUUUGCGAGUUGUAGGUUUUACAAUUAUAAGGGUUAUAUGUUGAGUUUAUAAAUGUGCAUUAUAGUUUAGAUUUUAUUAUUAAACGAGAUUAUUUAUCGGUUUGGGUUUAUUAAAGAUGAGUGAGAUUUAGGUUUAACAAUUAAACAAGGUUAUUUCUCAGUUUGGGUUCAUAAAGGAGAAUUAGGAUUUACAAUUUACAAAUAAAUUAGAUUUUGAGUUUAACUAAAUUCAUAAUUUUAUUCAUGAUUUCUAUUUUAUAAUAUGUUAUAUUUGUUUAAUUUUUAAUUUAUGUACGAAUGUAUUAUGCCAUUGAGCAAUUUCAUUGUCUAAAACAUAAGGGUGAAUAAAAUAACAAAGUUUAAUAUAAAUCGUAAUAUAGUAAUUUUAAAAUAUUUUUAAAGAAAAUANNNNNNNNNNNNNNNNNNNNNNNNNNNNNNNNNNNNNNNNNNNNNNNNNNNNNNNNNNNNNNNNNNNNNNNNNNNNNNNNNNNNNNNNNNNNNNNNNNNNAAUUCGUAAUUGAAAUUUUUUUUAAUGUUUUCGUCAACGAUGUUGUAAUUUAUUUUAGAAUCUUUAUGUUUAUUUGCGUUGUUUAUAUGAUUUUAUUUACAAAUGACUAUAUUUGUAUUUAACAUCAUAUUUUUGAUUGAUGUUAAUUUGAAAGAACUUUACCAUCAUAUUAAAUAAUAAUUAAUUAAUUUUCAUAGUCUGAGUAUGAUUUUUUGAAAAAUUGAAAGUUAAGAAAUAACAAUUUUUACAAAAUGGUAUAAUCAUGUUUUAGAGGAUAAUUGGUAAAUUAAGAUUUUUUGAAAUAUUUUAGCAAGAUUAUGAGUAAUGGUGAAUAGCUCCCAAAUAGCUCCCAAAUGUUUUGGUGAUUGUCAGUUUGACAUUACUAGAUUUAUAUAAUUAACGUUUUAUAACGAAUUUUAUUAAAUAUAUAUUUCAAACCAAAUAAAAUCUCUUUCCAAAUGAAAUUAAUUUCUCUUAUUUUUUCAAACAAAACUUUUGAAAUUAUAUUUUUAUAAUUUAUAGUAAAUUUUAAUUUUAAUUUAAUUUUAAAUAAAGAUAACCCGUCCAUCGGACGGGUACUAUACUAGUAUAGAUAUAAAAUCUACAUUCGGUCCAAUAUUCAUUUUUUUAUCUUCAAUCGAAUUUUUUAGCUUUUUUAAUAUUUUAAAAUUCUUAUCCAAUAUAAUUAAGAGAACACUAAUACUCUAUUGUUGUAUGUGCGACCCGAUUAUAAUUCGAAAGAAUACCAAUACGUUAUCGUAUUUUGUUUUUAAUGUCUGUAUUUCACUAUGGUAAAGAUUGUACAUGAUUACAAUGCAAAUAAUUAAUCAGAAGCUGGGAUACAAAGUAGUGAAAAAGAAACUGAUUAUCGUUUAAUCGGAGAUUUGGCCAAAAUAUUUGUUGCUUUGUCGUUUGCUCUAUGUAUCUAACAAAAUUUGACUGAUUCAAAUUUUUGUUUCCAAUGUGUGGUUUCUUGAAAUCUAAUUAUAAUAAGAAAAGUUGUGAUUCCUUUUAUGUACAUAGCAUGUCAAUGACUUGUUUAGAGUCUCCUUCGAAUAUUACUCGCUGAUGUCCUUGACUCCAAGUGUGCUGCAUUGCCAUAACCAAUACAUUAUCGUUAUAUAAGUAAAAUAACCUAGAGUUUAGGAUUUAAAGUUAUAGCGAGUUUGCAUCAUGAUUUGUUAACGAAUAUUAUGAAAUGUGAAGCAUGUUUUAUUUCGUAAGAUAUUAUCCUAUUAAAAACUACAAUAAAAUCUCUACAACUUGAUACUCGACAAAUUAAUAAUCUCCAUAAAUUAAUAAUUAAAUGAAAUUAUUAAUAUAUAUAUAUAUAUGUAAUAUUUUUAGUGAAAUAUAAUUAUCAUUAUGUUAAAUAUUCUUAUAUUUACAUUAGUUUUUGUUAGCAUUCAAUUCUAAUAGAUUUCAUGUAUCAAUAAAUUUAUAGUGUUUUAUUCAUUCAUGAUGAUUGUUGUUUUUUGUUGUAAUUGAUUAUAAAAAAAAUAUUGAUUAGAAUGGUUAAAUUUUAUUUUGAGGUAUAUAUAUUUUUAAAUUUACCAAAUUAGGAAAAUAUUGAUAAAUUAAUGAUUUUAUAAAUUAAUAAAAUUUAAUGAUCCUAACAUUAUUAGUUUAUAGAGGUUUUACAGUAUUGCUUAUGUGAAUCAAAUCUUUGGGCAUCCCAAAUAUAUCGGGUCAACUUUCAAAAAGAAAAAUAUACAGCAAAAGUUCAACUUAUGUUUUCAUUUGAUUAUUGUUUAUGAUCGUUGACUUCAUGCCAUUAUUACCUGUCUGUAGUCUUACAGAAAUAUGUUUAUCUGUUUUUGUAAGAAAAUAUAUAUUAUUUAUUUUUAAUGUAUUUACCAAAAAAAUCAUAUAUAAACUAUAUAUUUAUAUAUGUUAAUCUCCUAUAAUCAUAUGAUGAGAUAAAAAAUUAUUACGUUCGUUAAGAAUUAAUUUUUCCUUAAUAAACAUGACGAUGAUCACCAAUUAGUUAAAACUCUUUGAAACCAUAUGGUCAACUUCUUUCAUUUUCACGUUUUAUAGAUAUAUUACGUAGUUAAUUAAAGAGAACAUCACUUUAAAAAAAAUUAUAUAUAUAUAUAUAUAUAUAAUUGACCAAUCAAUCGAUCAAUAUUAUAGAUACGAAUGAUUUUAGCAUGAUGAUUAUCAUAUUAUAACAUUUAAUUUAUUUUAAAGAAUAGAAAUGGCCAAUCAAUUGAUCAAUUUUAUAGAAAAGAAUGAUUUUGGCAUGAUGAUUAUCAUAUUAUAUUAUAUUAGCAUGUUCGACCUUAAUUUAUAAUCCGUAUAUAAUAAAAUAUACACCAUUAGUACACGAAACUAUAUGUUACUUAAUCAGCAAAAUGAUCAAAGUAGUAUGAUCACGUACACUAUAUCAUUACAAUAUAUCAUAGAAAUGUAUUAUCCGAAAGAGAUUGAGAUAAGUCCAAACUAGUAAAUCUAGUUUUUGGAUUUUGUAAACCCAAAAAAAAUCCAAACUAAUAUAUCUGUCCUUCUUGUAACCCUUGUUAUAUACGGAGUGAUUUUAUAAGUCCAACAAUUUAAGAAUACUAAUACAACUAUCACGUGGAAAUGAAGUAAUAAAAUUUGUCUUCGUCUGAGAGACUAAAUGAUAAUGGUGAUAUAAGUAUGCCCCGUUACAAAGGUAUUUGUUGAAGGAUAAUAUUUAUGAGACUUUGCACAAUUAGUUUCCAAAAAUAAGAUUAAUAUAUUUGAUUAUAUUUUUAACACUCGUGAAGUCCCGUACAUACAUUGGUAUAAGUUAUACUGUAUAACUAGGAACUUUGGGAGUUGUCUACUUAAUUAGUUUAGAGGAUCGACUUCAACCAUACCAAAUUUUGUUUUAUGGAUAUAUAAUUUUAUACCAGCAACUAUAGGUUUUUAAUUAAAAUUAGAACCAUAUACUACUAGACAUUACCAGCUCAUUAUAGUGUUCUUUAAUGAUCAAAUCAUAUCAAUAACAAAAUUAGUCAACUAAUCCCCUAGUAACGACAAAUUAGCUAUGAAACCUUCACAAUUCUCUCCUAGUGAAAACCCUAUAAAUACACACUAAACACUUAACCUUUCUCUCCACCCAUCUCAAACAAGCUUAAACGCACUACUACUUCUUGAGCCUUUUCCACUCCACAAAACAAAAUGGCUCCAAGAACCUCCCUUGCACUCUUCCUUUCUCUCAACCUCCUCUUCUUCACUUUCACCUCUGCGACCACAGGUACUUGUCCUAGAGACGCCCUCAAGAUCGGUGUUUGCGUCAGUGUGCUCAACAUAGUGGACCUAACAUUGGGAAACCCACCCGUACAGCCAUGCUGCUCUCUCAUCCAAGGCUUAGCUGACCUUGAGGCUGCUGUCUGCCUUUGCACUGCUCUCAAGGCUAGCGUUCUUGGAAUCAACCUUAACCUUCCCAUCAACCUCAGCGUUCUCCUCAAUGUUUGCGGUAGAAAAGCUCCAACCAACUUCCAGUGCGCUUAAGUUAAAAAUGAAGUUAUGGCAAAAAAAAAAAAAAAAAAAAAAAAAAAAAAAAUCAAUAAUCAACAAUCAAUAAUCAUAUAUACAAUGUAUGAAUAAUAAAUGAAUAAUCAUACAAUGUAUGAAUACUUGAAACCGUUAUCUUAUCUUCUUGUCUUUAUUUUAAGGUGAUUUCUUUUUUUCUUUGCAUUUGUAUUUGUAUUUGUCGUGGAUUGUUGGAAACUAACGUAUGAACGUUCUCAUGCAAUUACCCAAUAUUGGGUUUUGUGUGUAGUCGGCAAGUUUUUUCCUCCUUUGCUUCAUUGUUCCUCCAUCUCUUCUUUGUAAUUGUGUCCUUCGACGUUUAUUAAUAAAAGUAUCCAUCUUUAUGUUUUUUUUGUCUAUAUUGGUUAUCG